rnacentral:rRNA from 1 species
CAGUUUACAUGGAUAACUGUGGUAAUUCUAGAGCUAAUACAUGCACCCAGUCCGUUCCCUCGUGGAGCGGAUGCAGUUAUUUGCCCAAAACCAAUCCGGCCUUCGGGUCGGUCAAUUGGUGACUCUGAAUAACCGAAGCGGAGCGCAUGGUCUCGUACCGGCGCCAGAUCUUUCAAGUGUCUGACUUAUCAGCUUGUUGUUAGGUUAUGUUCCUAACAAGGCAUCAACGGGUAACGGAGGGUCAGGGCCCGACACCGGAGAGGGAGCCUGAGAAACGGCUACCACAUCCAAGGAAGGCAGCAGGCGCGCAAAUUACCCACUCCCGGCACGGGGAGGUAGUGACGAAAAAUAACGAUGCGAGAGCUUUAUGCUCCUCGUAAUCGGAAUGGGUACACUUUAAAUCCUUUAACGAGGAUCUAUUGGAGGGCAAGUCUGGUGCCAGCAGCCGCGGUAAUUCCAGCUCCAAUAGCGUAUAUUAAAGUUGCUGCGGUUAAAAAGCUCGUAGUUGGAUCUGGGUAGUCGAUGGACGGUGCGCUUUACGGCGUCUACUGUUCGUUCGGCACCACAUGCCGGCCAUGUCUUGCAUGCUCUUCACUGAGUGUGCUUGGCGACCGGAACGUUUACUUUGAAAAAAUUAGAGUGCUCAAAGCAGGCGUUAAGCCUUGCAUAAUGGUGCAUGGAAUAAUAGAAUAGGACCUCGGUUCUAUUUUGUUGGUUUUCGGAACUCGAGGUAAUGAUUAAUAGGAACAGACGGGGGCAUUCGUAUUGCGGCGUUAGAGGUGAAAUUCUUGGAUCGUCGCAAGACGCACUA